rnacentral:rRNA from 1 species
GAUGAACGCUAGCUACAGGCUUAACACAUGCAAGUCGAGGGGAAACGCUGAGAGAGCUUGCUCUCUUAGGCGUCGACCGGCGCACGGGUGAGUAACGCGUAUCCAACCUACCCAUUACAGGGGGAUAACCUUGCGAAAGUAAGACUAAUACCCCAUGGCCUUUUAUGGUGGCAUCAUUAUAGGAUUAAAGAUUUAUUGGUAAUGGAUGGGGAUGCGUCUGAUUAGCUUGUUGGCGGGGUAACGGCCCACCAAGGCAACGAUCAGUAGGGGUUCUGAGAGGAAGCUCCCCCACAUUGGAGCUGAGACACAGUCCAAACUCCUACGGGAGGCAGCAGUGAGGAAUAUUAGUGGAUGGGCGAGAGCUUGAACCAGCCAAGUAGCGUGCAGGAGGACUGCCCUAUGGGUUGUAAACUGCUUUUAUAGAAGAAUAAAGUGAGCUACGUGUAGUUUAUUGCAUGUACCCUAUGAAUAAGGACCGGCUAAUUCCGUG